GGGCCUGUAGCUCAGCUGGGAGAGCGCUCGCUUUCUAAGCGAGAGGUCGGUGGUUCGAGACCGCCCAGGCCCA
rnacentral:tRNA from 1 species